rnacentral:lncRNA from 1 species
GUUCAGCAGAGUCUGAGGGCCUCAGAUCAGGAACUUUAUCUGGCUAGUAAUUGCAUCGGCACACUGCCUUUCUUGUGCGUGUGUGUGGGCACUUGGUGAGCAGGGCACAGAGCUGCCGAGUCUUUGUGCUAGCAUCCGUGCACAAGGAUGAAUUAAAUGCCUGCACACCUCUGCGAAGGACCAUGGCUGGAUUCUACAGUUGCCUGAGAAGUGAGAAAUAUACGUGUCCAGCAGCAAACACUGAGAAGGGAAUGAAUCUUUUGCAGUCUAGUUGUAGUGAUGGGAAAGUGUCCUCUUCUUUAUUAAUUAGCUGCACUGUUCGUGUAUUAACAAAUAACAAGAAAUACAGAAAUGCACGUUGGCUUUAAAAAAUACUCCACUAGAAAUCUGAUAUUAAAUGUUUUUGUAUAUCUAACCCGAGGUUUGUUCUGUAAUUCCACCCUGCUGAGAGAUUUGAUUUGCAAGAAAUCCUUUUGAUUGCAAAGUGGGCUGCAGAGGGAGAAGUGGAUGGGACAAUGCACGUUAGUGUUGGUGCUUUAAAUCACCAUGAAGACAGCUUUUCUUUUUCCUUUGACAUUCUCCCUGCUAAGGAGUGGAAGAAAAUUAUCUGCUGCAAAAACCAAGUGGUGGGUUUUGAUGAUUAUUUGCAUCAGCAGACUGUAGAGGGCUCUAUUUUUGCAUACAAUAUGGAAUUACAGAAAGUGGAAAUUAACAGUGAAAAGCAAGUAAAAUUGUAUCUUGAGGCUUAAGAUAUGAAUGAUGAUAGUUAAUGGUAUGGAUGAAGGCUUGGAUAGCAGAGGAAAAAGCACCAGCUCAAAAGUAAAGCUUGCAGCCUCCUCCUCUUCAUACCUCUCCUAAAGGCUGCAUCCUUUAUGCCAGGUGUCUCACUUUACUCUGCUGGAACUACGGAUUUUCAGAGUCUCCCAGUUCUUUCUGGAUUUCAGUUAGCAUUCCCAUCCCAUGCUGACUCUUCUCCUCCUUUGAAACUUGUGACAGUGCCUACAAGAAGGGAACUACAAGAAAGCAAGUCUACCCUAGGAAAGAGGGGGAAUGCAGUUGCGGAAGGCAGGGAAACGCUGUGAAGGAUGGGCAGCAGAUGAAGCUUCUUUUAUAUGACAUACGAUCACUUCCUUCCUUGUGGAAAUCCACCUGGUUCAUAAAGGGCAGCGUUUAUUUUCUAAACAAACUCUUUCUUGUUAUUCUUCAGUUUGGUUUUGACACUGGAUAUGUGUGUAGAUUAUGUUCCUCAUCCUGUUGUCUCAGCCCUGUGAUGUGUUCCCAAGUGGAUUAGUGACUGUUAAUACUUUGUACUUGUUACAAAUUUUACAUGUAGCUUUGGCAGCGGUUAUUGGCUGUUAAAAUGAGUCUCAGACAUUAAUUUCAG